AAGAAAGAAAGAAAGAAAGAAAGAUUACAGCUUCUCUCUCCCUUGCUUAUAUUGUGCCUGUGAAGAACCGGAAGAACAGGAAGAAAAAGUUGAAGAACAAGAAGAAGAUACGGGUGGUGAGUGAUAACAAGUACAUUUCAGGUCAUGAAUGGCUUGUUUCCUCGUGAUGUCGAGUUUUGUACAGAAGACACAGUACCGUCCUCCAAAUAUAUCUUCAUCUUCAUCACUAUCGUCAACAUCUGUGGUAUCUUCUUCAAAAGUUUCCCCAGGUUCAAUUCUCCAAUCAUCACUUGUGUAGUAUAUCAAUCCCAACAUUGGAAGAAGCACCAUAAGAAUUUUAUCUAUACGCUUGUCAAAGCAUUCAUUUGUCCUCUUCCAGAACAUUAACGGCGCAACAACAGCUCCUGCCCCUACCCCAAAACCCAGUCCAGGGACUAUGAACUGCCAAUCAAAUUCAUUUCUUGGGUUUUGUUGCCUUGCAGUCGGUAAUGCACUGGUAUCUAGACAUUUUUCUUCCAAAGGAGCUCCACAUAAUCCUUCAUUAUUUGCAAAGGAAGCUGCUGAAAAUGAUUGGAGUUGAGUACUUGUAGGAAUCCUUCCGACUAGCAUGUUGUUUGAGAGGUUCAGGACUGAAAGAAAUGUUAGCUUUGCAAGCUGCUGAGGAAUUUCUCCAGUAAGUUUGUUAUCUGAAAGGUCUAAGGACUCCAGAUGUAAGAGGUUGCCUAAAGCUGAUGGGAUUUGACCAACAAGUGCAUUAUGUGACAAGUUGAGAGCAUAAAGUGCAUUUAAUUGCCCUAACCUUUCUGGUAUUGGCCCUUCAAAUUUGUUGCCAGAGACAUCAAUGGUUGUGAAGACUGUUAGGAUCUUCACCAAAUUCAUUUCAAGGCCUUUGCUGGUAACUGUUAUUGAAUCUUGAUAA
rnacentral:misc_RNA from 1 species